rnacentral:rRNA from 1 species
UACGGGGGGGGCAAGCGUUGUUCGGAAUUACUGGGCGUAAAGGGCUCGUAGUCGGCCAACUAAGUCGGAUGUGAAAUCCCCAGGCUUAACCUGGGAACUGCAUCCGAUACUGGAUGGCUUGAAUUCGGGAGAGGGAUGCAGAAUUCCAGGUGUAGCGGUGAAAUGCGUAGAUAUCUGGAGGAACACCGGUGGCGAAGGCGGCAUCCUGGACCGGUAUUGACGCUGAGGCGCGAAAGCUAGGGGAGCAGACGGG